rnacentral:rRNA from 1 species
UAGGGAAUCUUCGGCAAAUGGGGGCAACCCUGACCGAGCAACGCCGCGUGAGUGAAGAAGGUUUUCGGAUCGUAAAGCUCUGUUGUAAGAGAAGAACGUGUGUGAGAGUGGAAAGUUCACACAGUGACGGUAACUUACCAGAAAGGGACGGCUAACUACGCGCCAG